rnacentral:rRNA from 1 species
CAGUCGCCGCGGGAAUACGGAGGGGGCUAGCGUUGUUCGGAUUUACUGGGCGUAAAGCGCACGUAGGCGGACUUUUAAGUCAGGGGUGAGAUCCCGGGGCUCAACCCCGGAACUGCCUUUGAUACUGGGAGUCUUGAGUUCGAGAGAGGUGAGUGGAAUUGCGAGUGUAGAGGUGAAAUUCGUAGAUAUUCGCAGGAACACCAGUGGCGAAGGCGGCUCACUGGCUCAUACUGGACGCUGAGGUGCGAAAGCGUGGGGAGCAAACAGGAUUAGAUACCCCCGUAGUCCCUGUCUCUUAUAC